AUUGAACGCUGGCGGCGUGCCUAAUACAUGCAAGUCGAACGGAGUGGCGCACGGGUGAGUAAUAUAUAGCUAACCUGCCCCUUGCUGGAGGACAACAGUUAGAAAUGACUGCUAAUACUCCAUAGCAAGGGAUGAGACUAUAUCGUAUCAGAUAGUCGGUGGGGUAACGGCCUACCCAGGGUAUGACGAGUAACUGGUCUGAGAGGAUGAUCAGUCAAAUUGGAAGUGAGACACGGUCAAAACUCCUACGGGAGGCAGCAGUAGGGAAUAUUGCGCAAUGGGGGAAACCCUGAAGCAGCAACGGCGCGUGGAGGAUGACACGUUGCGGAGCGUAAAAUCAUGUUGUUAGGGAAGCGGUACCUAACGAAUAAGCACCGGCUAACUCCGUGCCAGCAGCCGCGGUAAUUC
rnacentral:rRNA from 1 species